GCACAGUAAACGAUGGAUGCUCGCCGUCCGCGAUACACAGUGGGUGGCCAAGCGAAAGCGAUAAGCAUCCCACCUGGGGAGUACGCCGGCAACGGUGAAACUCAAAGGAAUUGACGGGGGCCCGCACAAGCGGAGGAACAUGUGGUUUAAUUCGAUGAUACGCGAGGAACCUUACCCGGGCUUGAAAGUUAGCGACGGACCUGGAAACAGGUCUUCCCUUCGGGGCGCGAAACUAGGUGCUGCAUGGUUGUCGUCAGCUCGUGCCGUGAGGUGUCGGCUUAAGUGCCAUAACGAGCGCAACCCCUGCUUGUAGUUGCCAGCAUUGAGAUGGGGACUCUACAAGGACUGCCACCGCAAGGUGCGAGGAAGGCGGGGAUGACGUCAAAUCAGCACGGCCCUUACGUCCGGGGCGACACACGUGUUACAAUGGGGGGUACAGAGGGAAGCGAUGCGGCGACGCAAAGCGAAUCUCGGAAAGCCCCUCUCAGUUCGGAUCGGAGUCUGCAACUCGACUCCGUGAAGCUGGAUUCGCUAGUAAUCGCGCAUCAGCCAUGGCGCGGUGAAUACGUUCCCGGGCCUUGUACACACCGCCCGUCAAGCCAUGGGAGUCCGGGGUGCCUGAAGUCCGUAACCGGAAGGAGCGGCCUAGGGUAAAACGGAUGACUGGGGCU
rnacentral:rRNA from 1 species